rnacentral:rRNA from 1 species
AUGAACGCUAGCGGCAGGCUUAACACAUGCAAGUCGAGGGGUAACAGGAGUAGCUUGCUACUUGCUGACGACCGGCGCACGGGUGCGUAACGCGUAUAGAAUCUACCUUGUACUAGGGGAUAGCCUUUGGAAACGAAGAUUAAUACCCUAUAGUAAGUAUUUAUGGCAUCAUUUAUACUUUAAAGGUUACGGUACAAGAUGACUAUGCGUCCUAUUAGUUUGUUGGUGAGGUAACGGCUCACCAAGACUUCGAUAGGUAGGGGCCCUGAGAGGGGGAUCCCCCACACUGGUACUGAGACACGGACCAGACUCCUACGGGAGGCAGCAGUGAGGAAUAUUGGACAAUGGAGGCAACUCUGAUCCAGCCAUGCCGCGUGCAGGAUGACGGCCCUAUGGGUUGUAAACUGCUUUUAUGUAGGGAAGAAACACUCUCACGGGGUGAGAGCUUGACGGUACUACAAGAAUAAGGACCGGCUAACUCCGGUGGCCAGCAGCCGCGGGUAAUACGGAAGGGGUCCAAGGCGGUUAUCCGGGAAUCAUUGGGGUUUAAAGGGGUCCGUAGGGCGGGGCUAUUAGUCAGAGGUGAAAAGUUUGGCAGCUCAACUGUAAAAUUGCCUUUGAAACUGGUAGUCUUGAAUUAUUAUGAAGUGGUUAGAAUAUGUAGUGUAGCGGUGAAAUGCAUAGAUAUUACAUAGAAUACCAAUUGCGAAGGCAGAUUACUAAUAAUCAACUGACACUGAUGGACGAAAGCGUGGGUAGCGAACAGGAUUAGAUACCCUGGUAGUCCACGCCGUAAACGAUGGUUACUAGCUGUUUGGACUUCGGUCUGAGUGGCUAAGCGAAAGUGAUAAGUAACCCACCUGGGGAGUACGUUCGCAAGAAUGAAACUCAAAGGAAUUGACGGGGGCCCGCACAAGCGGUGGAGCAUGUGGUUUAAUUCGAUGAUACGCGAGGAACCUUACCAGGGCUUAAAUGUAAGUUGCAUUAGUUAGAGAUAGCUAUUUCUUCGGACCACUUACAAGGUGCUGCAUGGUUGUCGUCAGCUCGUGCCGUGAGGUGUCAGGUUAAGUCCUAUAACGAGCGCAACCCCUGUUGUUAGUUGCCAGCGAGUCAUGUCGGGAACUCUAACAAGACUGCCAGUGCAAACUGUGAGGAAGGUGGGGAUGACGUCAAAUCAUCACGGCCCUUACGUCCUGGGCUACACACGUGCUACAAUGGUAGGGACAGAGAGCAGCCACUACGCGAGUAGGAGCGAAUCUAUAAACCCUAUCACAGUUCGGAUCGGAGUCUGCAACUCGACUCCGUGAAGCUGGAAUCGCUAGUAAUCGGAUAUCAGCCAUGAUCCGGUGAAUACGUUCCCGGGCCUUGCACACACCGCC